CGUGUGCGCAAGUCAUUGGGUGUCAAACCCAAAGGCGAAAUGAAAGUGAAGGAAACUCUGCUUUCCGAGGGAAGAUGGGCUGGACCCCUAAAAGGGCCACCUCGCACUCCCUGGGCGUCUCCAUCUCAUUGCGAGAGGAGGCGCACCAAGAGCGUACACGCUGAUACCCGAAAGAUGGUGAACUAUGCCUGGCCAGGACGAAGCCAGGGGAAACCCUGGUGGAGGUCCGCAGCGAUUCUGACGUGCAAAUCGAUCGUCGGAGCUGGGUUUAGGGGCGAAAGACCAAUCGAACCAUCUAGUAGCUGGUUCCCUCUGAAGUUUCCCUCAGGAUAGCUUGCGCUCGGACGAGACGAGUCUCAUCCGGUAGAGCGAAUGAUUAGAGGCCUUGGGGUCGAAACGACCUCAACCUAUUCUCAAACUCCAAAUAGAUGAGAACCCUGGCUUUCUUGAAAUUUUCUUUGAAGCCAGGGCUUCGGAUCAGAGUGCCAAGUGGGCCAAUUUUGG
rnacentral:rRNA from 1 species